AAUAAUGCUAAAAUCAAUUUAUGCAGACCCUACAUCGAUGUAAUUUUACGAGAGAAAUGGAUUGCGGGCAGAGUAAACUUGCUGUGAUAAGCUGAUCAAAAGUUACAGUCGAAAAACGAAAAAUUCAUCCGUAUUUUCUAUGUAUCACUUCAGCUGUUGUUCCUACGCCGUUUUUGAUGACUGUGAGAGAGAGCGAGUGAGUCGUGAGAUUGAGAUUAAGACUUCCUAUCGAUAUGAUCAAUGGAUCAAAAGAUACAGACGAAAAACGGACAUAUGUUUUAUUACCAAUAUAUUUCAGGUAUCAUGUAGAUUAUUAAAUCUAAAUAAGGUCCUGGUCGCGAUCUUUCAAAUAUGAAUUCAUUUAAAAUUAAAAUCCUUCAAUGAGCACCCACAGCAUUUUAGUUAAUCCCAAACCUAGUCAUAAAUGAGAUGCAUGAUGCAAUGAAAAAAUUCUACAAUCUAAGAUUAGUUUUGCUUUUUCAAGAUCUAAUUGUUAAUAACAAAUAAUAUUUACUUCAGCUUAAUCCUAUAGUACUUUAACUUACCAAAGUACAGACGAUAACGUUCAAGGCUCAUUACGUGUUCGGAAUAGGUAUACGAUAUAUCUUUCAGAAUUUGUUAUAUUUCUCUAGAAUUUCUAGAUUUGUAUCAAAUUAGAUAUUUUUUUCUAUAAAUACAUAUGUAAUAUUUUGCUUCAGAAACAUUUAACAAUCAAUGAUAAAUGAACGCUGCACUCUAUCACUUCAAAAAGAUAACUUACUGAAGGUAUUAAAAGAAGCCUGCUACGUUAGUAUGGCAAAAAACCAAUAAACUAACAGAUUUCGCAAGCUUUAGUAGUACAUGGGAAAAUAAAAACAGGUCUGAGUUCUUGUGUCAUAAUUGGAUAGGAAACAAGUGGUGCGGUUGGACCAGAUAUUGACAGUGGUAAGUUUGUCGGUUGCUGAGCGUUCGGUGCUUGUUGGUUAGUGGGCUGAGGACCUGAUCCACUCAUACUAAUUGUUUGUUGAGCCAUCGUGACAAUUGGUGGAGGAAUAGAUACCGGUGCCAUGGAAACAGCAGCAAUUGAUACAGGCGUUACUGUUGCUAUGCUCACAGGAACAGUUGCAACGCUAGCUGUAACAGUUCGCAGUGUUCCAGCUGCUACAGCAGCAUUAACCAUCUGUUGAGGUGUUGGAGCUUGAGAUGGAGCAAUGCAUUUUCAUCUUCUAGAUUAAAGGCUCUAGCUUCAUUUCUGGGGAUUACAGGAUAGUAAUAGCUGGAAGUUACAGGCUGGGCUGGAUGCUGUCCUACCAGAGGUGGUGUUUCGAAAUGUAAGAUGGUUUCUCCAGACACAAUACGUCGUUUUGCCUCAGGAGGCCCCAAAUAAUCAGGUUGAUGCGUUGAAGGAUUGUAGCCAUUAUUGUGGACUAGUGGAUGCGGGUCCUCCAUUUGCCAGUGGUAGCUGAAAAUCAAGCGUAUUCAUCAAU